rnacentral:rRNA from 1 species
UCCCGAGGCUCAACCUCGGAACUGCUCUUAAAACUGCUAAGCUAGAGAUAGUCAGAGGCGGGUAGAAUUCCUGGUGUAGAGGUGAAAUUCGUAGAUAUCAGGAGGAAUACCGGUGGCGAAGGCGGCCCGCUGGGGCUAUUCUGACGCUAAGGUGCGAAAGCGUGGGGAGCGAACGGGAUUAGAUACCCCGGUAGUCCACGCCGUAAACGAUGAACACCAGCUGUUUGAACAAACGACAGUUCGAGUGGCGCAGCUAACGCGAUGAGUGUUCCGCCUGGGGAGUACGGUCGCAAGACUAAAACUCAAAGGAAUUGACGGGGGCCCGCACAAGCGGUGGAGCAUGUGGUUUAAUUCGACGCAACGCGAAGAACCUUACCUGGGUUUGACAUCCU